AGGAUGGAAGAAUCCUAUUGUUUAUCCACAAAACAAUAUAAAAUCUAGUAUAUUAUGAGAUGAAGGUCUAUAAAGACCCUGUAAUUGAAUAAAAAAAUGAUAGAGAUCACCAUCAACUGAUAAAUACGUGCCAGGAAUUGAAAUACAAACUGGUGCAGAUCUGGAGUUUACCUGCCCUGCAGUUGCUUCACCAGAUCAAUAUCUCGAAUGAAACUAUGGUUUUCACCAGGAUUAACAGUUCACUGGUCUGCAUUCUGGAGCUGUACAUGUCUUCGAUGUUCAUAUUGAAGAAGGCCCAGUGGAGUUGUUGGAGAAAAAUGAGAAAAAGCCAGG